rnacentral:rRNA from 1 species
AGUGAACGCUGGCGGCGUGCCUAAUACAUGCAAGUCGAACGGAGUGGCGCACGGGCGAGUAAUGUAUAGCUAAUCUGCCCUACACUAGAGGACAACAGUUGGAAACGACUGCUAAUACUAUAUAUUGGAGGAUGAGGCUAUAUUGUAUCAGCUAGUUGGUGGGGUAAUGGCUCACCAAGGCUAUGACGCAUAACUGGUGUGAGAGGAUGAUCAGUCACACCGGAACGGAGGCACGAUCGGGACUCAUACGAGAGGGAGCAGUAGGGAAUUAUGCCCAAUGGGCGAAAACCUGAAGCAGCUUCGCCGCGUAGAAGAUGACACUUGUCGGAGCGUAAACUCCUUUUGUUAGGGAAGCGGUACCCAACGAAUAAGCACCGGCUAACUCCGUGCCAGCAGCCGCGGUAAUAC